rnacentral:rRNA from 1 species
GACGAACGCUGGCGGCGUGCUUAACACAUGCAAGUCGAACGGUGAAGGGACCGGUUUUUGCUGGUUCUGGAUGAGUGGCGCACGGGUGAGUAACACGUGAGUAACCUGCCCCCUUCUUCUGGAUAACCGCAUGAAAGUGUGGCUAAUACGGGAUAUUCUGCGCCUGCUGCAUGGUGGGUGUGGGAAGGAUAUUGUUUCGGUGGGGGAUGGGCUCGCGGCCUAUCAGCUUGUUGGUGGGGUGAUGGCCUACCAAGGCGGUGACGGGUAGCCGGCCUGAGAGGGUGGACGGUCACACUGGGACUGAGACACGGCCCAGACUCCUACGGGAGGCAGCAGUGGGGAAUAUUGCACAAUGGGCGCAAGCCUGAUGCAGCGACGCCGCGUGAGGGAUGGAGGCCUUCGGGUUGUAAACCUCUUUCGCCAGUGAAGCAGGCCUGUCCCUUUUGUGGGUGGGUUGACGGUAGCUGGAGAAGAAGCGCCGGCUAACUACGUG